GUCCUGUUGUAUUAUUUAGUAGGUCUGGCCUGCCCAGUGAUAGUUUCAACGGCCGCGGUAUAUUGACCGUGCAAAGGUAGCAUAAUCAUUAGUCUUUUAAUAGAAGGCUGGAAUGAAAGGUUUAACGAGAAAUUAACUGUCUCAAUUACAAUUUGAAUUUAUCUUUUGAGUCAAAAGACUUAAAUAUAAUUGAUGGACGAGAAGACCCUAUAGAGCUUAACAAUUUUUUUUGUAUAUUUAUACAGUAAAAUCAUUUAUAUAUACUAAUAAAAUUGUUUUGUUGGGGUGACAAUAAAUAUAUAUUUAACUUUUAUCAUAUUAUGUACAUUAAUUUAGAUUUCGGAUCCAAAAGUUU
rnacentral:rRNA from 1 species